GGAGGAUAGCUCAGUGGCAGAGCACAGGCUUAGCAUGCACAAGGUCCUGGGUUCAAUCCCCAGUACCUCCA
rfam:Camelus ferus unplaced genomic scaffold scaffold1904, whole genome shotgun sequence.